rnacentral:tRNA from 1 species
AGCUCGGUAGCUCGCUGGGCUCAUAACCCAGAGGUCGCAGGUUCAAAUCCUGUCCCCGCUA